rnacentral:rRNA from 1 species
AAUAUUGGACAAUGGGCGAAAGCCUGAUCCAGCCAUGCCGCGUGUGUGAAUAAGGUCUUCGGAUUGUAAAGCACGUUAAGUUGGGAGGAAGGGGUUGAAGCUAAUACCUGCAAUCUUUGACGAUACCAACAGACUAAGCACCGUCUAACUCUGUCACAGCAGCGGCGGUAAUACAAAUGGUGCAAGAGUUAAUCGGAAUUACUGGGCGUAAAGCGCGCGUAGGUGGUUCAGUAAGAUGGGUGUGAAAUCCCCGGGCUUAACCUGGGAACUGCUUUCAUAACUGCUGAGCUAGAGUACGGUAGAGGGUAGUGGAAUUUCCUGUGUAGCGGUGAAAUGCGUAGAUAUAGGAAGGAACACCAGUGGCGAAGGCGACUACCUGGACUGAUACUGACACUGAGGUGCGAAAGCGUGGGGAGCAAACA